GAGGCAAUGAUCUUUUUGGAAGAAAAAUCAUGGCAAGAAUGAGAGCUCAGAAUGCAUCUACAAGUACUGCUAGAUGCUUUUCAUGAGAAGAAGAGCACCCAAACCAGCAUGUGGAGUCCAAUGCUUCAUAUCCUAUGAUCAUGGCUUACCAGCAGUAGUUCACCACAUUAGCCCAACAGAUAACAAUCCUGAUGGAGGGGGUCCACAAUCUAUAAUACACUAUAGAAAAAUGACUGCAACAACAACAA
rnacentral:lncRNA from 1 species